rnacentral:rRNA from 1 species
AACGAACGCUGGCGGCGCGCCUAAUACAUGCAAGUCGAGCGAGAAGGUGUAGCAGUACACUUGUAAAGCGGCGAACGGGUGAGGAAUACAUGGGUAACCUACCCUCGAGUGGGGAAUAACUAGCCGAAAGGUUAGCUAAUACCGCAUACGAUUCCGGGACUGCGGUUCCGGAAAGAAAGCGAUACCGUGGGUAUCGCGCUCCUGGAUGGGCUCAUGUCCUAUCAGCUUGUUGGUGAGGUAACGGCUCACCAAGGCUUCGACGGGUAGCUGGUCUGAGAGGACGAUCAGCCACACUGGCACUGCGACACGGGCCAGACUCCUACGGGAGGCAGCAGUAAGGAAUAUUGCGCAAUGGGCGAAAGCCUGACGCAGCGACGCCGCGUGGGGGAUGAAGGUCUUCGGAUUGUAAACCCCUUUCGGGAGGGAAGAUGGGAUGGGUAACCAUUCGGACGGUACCUCCAGAAGCAGCCACGGCUAACUUCGUGCCAGCCGCCGCGGUAAAAC